GAUGAACGCUGGCGGCGUGCCUAAUACAUGCAAGUCGAGCGAACAGACGAGGAGCUUGCUCCUCUGACGUUAGCGGCGGACGGGUGAGUAACACGUGGAUAACCUACCUAUAAAACUGGGAUAACUUCGGGAAACCGGAGCUAAUACCGGAUAAUAUAUUGAACCGCAUGGUUCCAUAUUGAAAAACGGUUUUUCUGUCACUUAUAGAUGGAUCCGCGCCGCAUUAGCUAGUUGGUAAGGUAACGGCUUACCAAGGCAACGAUGCGUAGCCGACCUGAGAGGGUGAUCGGCCACACUGGAACUGAGACACGGUCCAGACUCCUACGGGAGGCAGCAGUAGGGAAUCUUCCGCAAAGGGCGAAAGCUUGACGGAGCAACGCCGCGUGAGUGAUGAAGGUCUUCGGAUCGUAAAACUCUGUUAUUAGGGAAGAACAAAUGUGUAAGUAACUAUGCACGUCUUGACGGUACCUAAUCAGAAAGCCACGGCUAACUACGUG
rnacentral:rRNA from 1 species